rnacentral:rRNA from 1 species
UACAGAGGUGGCAAGCGUUGUUCGGAAUUACUGGGCGUAAAGGGCGCGUAGGCGGCUUAACAAGUCCCGUGUGAAAUCCCUCGGCUCAACUGAGGAACUGCACGGGAAACUGUUUGGCUUGAGUUCGGGAGAGGGAAGCGGAAUUCCGGGUGUAGCGGUGAAAUGCGUAGAUAUCUGGAGGAAUACCGGUGGCGAAGGCGGCAUCCUGGACCGACAUUGACGCUGAGGAGCGAAAGCGUGGGGAGCGAACAGG